UACGUAGGCAGCAAGCGUUGUUCGGAGUUACUGGGCGUAAAGCGCACGUAGGCGGAUUGCUAAGUCAGGGGUGAAAUCCUGGAGCUCAACUCCAGAACUGCCUUUGAUACUGGCGAUCUUGAGUCCGGGAGAGGUGAGUGGAACUGCGAGUGUAGAGGUGAAAUUCGUAGAUAUUCGCAAGAACACCAGUGGCGAAGGCGGCUCACUGGCCCGGUACUGACGCUGAGGUGCGAAAGCGUGGGGAGCAAACAGG
rnacentral:rRNA from 1 species